CCAGCGUGAACACACUCCGAGUUGAUUAAGCCAACGCUGAUCGCCUGUUCUGAAACCGAAAACCCAGAGUUGCUUUUCAACCCUGAACUCUGAGUCAACCAACUCAGAGCGCAGGAUUAAACUCAGAGUAUGUUAAACCAGCUACCUGAAACAGGCCUCUGGGCCAUGGAAAGAGACGACUGGUUUGGACAUCGAGGGCUUUCCACGGAAAAAGUACGGCACCGACUGUGGCAUCUUCAUGUUGAUGCAUGUCCUUUACAAAGUGAUGGAUGCACCCUUUGACUUCACUGUUAUUGAUAUGCCGGCAUUGAGAAAAUGGUGGUGUAUCAUGCUGAUCGAAAAUCUUGACCUUGGAAGCCAUGGCAAACUCUUUGCCCACUGGACCGACGCAUCUAAGGCUCUUCUUCGGGGUGAGGUGCAAUGAGUUUUUAAACUGAAGAAGAGAAGGCGAGAUGACAUUCAUGAGUUGGACCUUGAUGCUGUGACAACGGACAAGUCUUCUUCCUCUGUCCUUUUUCCCUGCCUCUGUUCAGUAUGUUCAGUGUUGUUAAAUCAUUUCUAAUUUUUUUGGUUUAUUUACUAUUAGUUACUGUUCUUAUGUGUUCUUGUUAAUGUGAUGUUUGAAUAAACUUGCCUCUUGCAAUGUUGGUAUAACGUUUGUAUAAUUACUGUUUCAAUGUGACCUAGACCAUAUUUCUCAUUUAAC
ensembl:lncRNA